GACGGAGGAUGCAAGUGUUAUCCGGAAUCACUGGGCGUAAAGCGUCUGUAGGUGGUUUAAUAAGUCAACUGUUAAAUCUUGAGGCUCAACCUCAAAAUCGCAGUCGAAACUAUUAGGCUAGAGUAUAGUAGGGGUAAAGGGAAUUUCCAGUGGAGCGGUGAAAUGCGUAGAUAUCAAGAGGAACACCAAUAGCGAAGGCAGCUCGCUGGGACGUUACUGACACUGAGGCGCGAAAGCGUGGGGAGCAAACAGG
rnacentral:rRNA from 1 species